rnacentral:rRNA from 1 species
GAUCCUGGCUUAGAUUGAACGCUGGCGGCGUGCUUAACACAUGCAAGUCGCGCGUGAAAGGACUUCGGUCCGAGUAAAGCGGCGCACGGGUGAGUAACGCGUGGAUGAUCUACCCAUGAGUUAGGAAUAACGGCUGGAAACGGUCGCUAAUACCAAAUACGCUCCGAUUUCAACUUCGGGGGGAAAGGUGGCCUCUGCUUGCAAGCUACUGCUCAUGGAUGAGUCCGCGUCCCAUUAGCUAGUUGGUGGGGUAACGGCCCACCAAGGCGACGAUGGGUAGCCGGUCUGAGAGGAUGACCGGCCACACUGGGACUGGAACACGGCCCAGACUCCUACGGGAGGCAGCAGUGGGGAAUAUUGCGCAAUGGGCGAAAGCCUGACGCAGCGACGCCGCGUGAGGGAUGAAGGUCCUCGGAUCGUAAACCUCUGUCAGGAGGGAAGAACCGCCACGGUGCUAAUCAGCCGUGGUCUGACGGUACCUCCAAAGGAAGCACCGGCUAACUCCGUGCCAGCCGCAGC